GGACGGGGCCCGCACAAGCGAGGAACAUGUGGUUUAAUUCGAUGAUACGCGAGGAACCUUACCGUGGGCUAGAACGCAUUCGGAAUCAGGCCGAAAGGCCUGCGCCAGCGAUGGCCGCUUGCGAGGUGCUGCAUGGUUGUCGUCAGCUCGUGCCGUGAGGUGUCGGGUUAAGUCCCAUAACGAGCGCAACCCCUACUGCUAGUUGCCAGCGGGUCAUGCCGGGGACUCUAGCGGAACUGCCAGCGUAAGCUGCGAGGAAGGUGGGGAUGACGUCAAAUCAGCACGGCCCUUAUGUCCUGGGCUACACACGUGCUACAAUGGCCGGUACAGAGCGCAGCGAAGCCGCGAGGCAAAGCGAAUCGCAAAAAGCCGGUCUCAGUACGGAUUGGAGUCUGAAACUCGACUCCAUGAAGUUGGAAUCGCUAGUAAUCGCGCAUCAGCAUGGCGCGGUGAAUACGUUCCCGGGCCUU
rnacentral:rRNA from 1 species